rnacentral:ncRNA from 1 species
GCACUUAAAACUGGUUAACUAGAGUAUUGUAGAGGAAGGUAGAAUUCCACGUGUAGCGGUGAAAUGCGUAGAGAUGUGGAGGAAUACCGGUGGCGAAGGCGGCCUUCUGGACAGAUACUGACGCUGAGAUGCGAAAGCGUGGGGAGCAAACAGGAUUAGAUACCCUGGUAGUCCACGCUGUAAACGAUGUCGAUUUGGAGUUUGUUGCCCUGAGUGAUGGGCUCCGAAGCUAACGCGAUAAAUCGACCGCCUGGGGAGUACGGCCGCAAGGUUAAAACUCAAAUGAAUUGACGGGGGCCCGCACAAGCGGUGGAGCAUGUGGUUUAAUUCGAUGCAACGCGAAGAACCUUACCUGGUCUUGACAUCCACAGAAUCUUGCAGAGAUGCGAGAGUGCCUUCGGGAACUGUGAGACAGGUGCUGCAUGGCUGUCGUCAGCUCGUGUUGUGAAAUGUUGGGUUAAGUCCCGCAACGAGCGCAACCCUUAUCCUUUGUUGCCAGCGAUUUGGUCGGGAACUCAAAGGAGACUGCCGUUGAUAAAGCGGAGGAAGGUGGGGACGACGUCAAGUCAUCAUGGCCCUUACGACCAGGGCUACACACGUGCUACAAUGGCGUAUACAAAGGGAGGCGACCUCGCGAGAGCAAGCGGACCUCAUAAAGUACGUCUAAGUCCGGAUUGGAGUCUGCAACUCGACUCCAUGAAGUCGGAAUCGCUAGUAAUCGUGAAUCAGAAUGUCACGGUGAAUACGUUCCCGGGCCUUGUACACACCGCCCGUCACACCAUGGGAGUGGGUUGCACCAGAAGUAGAUAGCUUAACCGCGAGGGGGGCGUUUACCACGGUGUGGUCCAUGACUGGGGUGAAGUCGUAACAAGGUAACCGUAGGGGAACCUGCGGUUGGAUCACCUCCUUA